GGUUGGUCCGAGUGCCCUGUGUUUACAACUAAUUGAUCACAACCAGUUACAGAUUCCUUUGUUCUUUCUCCACUCUCACUGCUUUACUGGACCAGAAAA
rnacentral:Y_RNA from 1 species